UACGGGGGAUGCAAGCGUUAUCCGGAAUUAUUGGGCGUAAAGCGCCUGUAGGUUGUUUAGUAAGUCUGUUGUUAAAGAUUAGGGCUUAACCCUAGAAAAGCAAUGGAAACUACUAAACUUGAGUAUAGCAGGGGUAGAGGGAAUUUCUAGUGUAGUGGUGAAAUGCGUAGAUAUUAGAAAGAACACCGGCGGCGAAAGCGCUCUACUGGACUAUUACUGACACUCAGAGGCGAAAGCUAGGGGAGCAAAAGGGAUUAGAUACCCCUGUAGUCCUAGCCGUAAACGAUGGAUACUAGAUGUUGUGCAAUUUGUACAGUAUCGUAGCUAACGCGUUAAGUAUCCCGCCUGGGGAGUACGCUCGCAAGAGUG
rnacentral:rRNA from 1 species